rnacentral:piRNA from 1 species
UAUAAUUUCUCUAAAGACAUC